rnacentral:rRNA from 1 species
UUAAAAAGCUCGUAGUUGGAUUUCGGGAUGGGCCAGUCGGUCUGCUGUGAGGUAAGUUACUGGCUGGUCUGUUCUUCCUCGCAAAGAAUGCGUGUGCUCUUUACUGAGUGGGCGUAGGAUUUGCGACGUUUACUUUGAAAAAAUUAGAGUGUUCAAAGCAGGCUUACCGCUUGAAUACAUGAGCAUGGAAUAAUGGAAUAGGACUUUGGUCUUAUUUUGUUGGUUUCUAAGACUGAGGUAAUGAUUAAGAGGGACAGUUGGGGGCAUUCGUAUUUCGUUGUCAGAGGUGAAAUUCUUGGAUUUACGAAAGACGAACAACUGCGAAAGCAUUUGCCAAGAAUGUUUUCAUUAAUCAAGAACGAAAGUUAGAGGCUCGAAGGCGAUCAGAUACCGUCCUAGUUCUAACCAUAAACGAUGCCGACUAGGGAUCAGCGAGCGUUAUUGUAUGACCUCGUUGGCACCUUAUGGGAGACCAAAGUUUUUGGGUUCCGGGGGAAGUAUGGUUGCAAAGCUGAAACUUAAAGGAAUUGACGGAAGGGCACCACCAGGAGUGGAGCCUGCGGCUUAAUUUGA